AUUGAACGCUGGCGGCAGGCCUAACACAUGCAAGUCGAGCGGAUGAAGGGAGCUUGCUCCUGGAUUCAGCUGCGGACGGGUGAGUAAUGCCUAGGAAUCUGCCUGGUAGUGGGGGAUAACGUCCGGAAACGGGCGCUAAUACCGCAUACGUCCUGAGGGUGAAAGUGGGGGAUCUUCGGACCUCACGCUAUCAGAUGAGCCUAGGUCGGAUUAGCUAGUUGGUGGGGUAAAGGCCUACCAAGGCGACGAUCCGUAACUGGUCUGAGAGGAUGAUCAGUCACACUGGAACUGAGACACGGUCCAGACUCCUACGGGAGGCAGCAGUGGGGAAUAUUGGACAAUGGGCGAAAGCCUGAUCCAGCCAUGCCGCGUGUGUGAAGAAGGUCUUCGGAUUGUAAAGCACUUUAAGUUGGGAGGAAGGGCAGUAAGUUAAUACCUUGCUGUUUUGACGUUACCAACAGAAUAAGCACCGGCUAACUUCGUG
rnacentral:rRNA from 1 species